rnacentral:rRNA from 1 species
UACGUAGGGUGCAAGCGUUGUCCGGAAUUAUUGGGCGUAAAGAGCUCGUAGGCGGUUCGUCGCGUCCGCUGUGAAAACCCGGAGCUCAACUCCGGGCCUGCAGUCGAUACGGGCGGACUAGAGUUCGGCAGGGGAGACUGGAAUUCCUGGUGUAGCGGUGAAAUGCGCAGAUAUCGGGAGGAACACCAGUGGCGAAAGCGGCUCACUGGACCACAACUGACGCUGAGGCGCGAAAGCUAGGGGAGCAAACAGA